CGUGUUAGGCUCCUUCCCGGCUAGUCUCUGGACCGAAGACCGGAAGUGCUUCUGCACCUUACAGCUUGGAAGCAAGAGUUGGCAUUCUAAGUUGUGGAAGACCUGCGCGAGACAGUAAAAAAGGCAGCCUGAAAUAUGAGGCAUUUACAACCGAACUCAGCCAUCAUAAUGUGAGGAAGCCCAAACAGCCUGUGACAAUCAAAGCCCAACUGGGAAGGAACUAUGAUCCCCAGCCCUCUGCCCUGGCAGAACUCCCAUUUGAGAAGUAACCAUAUUAACUUGCCAGCCUUAAGUGAGCCACCUUGAAAACACAUCCUUCAUCUCUAGGUUAUUACAGAACAUUGAGGAGACCUCCCUGUGCUAUACAAAAAAUGGCUAACAAAUUUAACCAAGUUGCUCAGGGAGAGCAUCCAUUUCUUCACACUUGGCAAUUACGGCAAAGAGAUACACAUAAACAUACAACCACAUCAGAUGGCUCUACAAUUUCCCAACCCUAUGAUGGAGAAGAGGUGAAAAAAGCGAUAGAGUGGUGAGUUUGUAGAAGACCCAAGUACAUUAUUAACUCUUAAUACUAAGGAAACAGUGCUGUCAAUUAAAGACAAAAUGCUUCAUCACUUAGUAUUUUUAUUUUAUAUUUAUUGAAAGAGCUCUUCUAUUGUGUGUAUAUUCACAUCUCGAAAAGAAAGAAACCAAAUUAUAUGAUUAAGGUAUUUAUUUCUAAAGCACCUUCACAUUCAGAAUCCAACUCUUCUAAAUCACUUAAUUCAGUUGUUGAUGUCUGAAUUUUUCUACAUAGUAUUGUCCUCUGUGCCAUCAAGAGAAUAAAUGACCCAGCCAUUUGUUUAAAAAUUGCUGCAGGAUGGUGUCUAGUAUUUUCUUAUAAACCACUGAUACCUAACCUCCAAGUUUCAUGACGGUGUUUUAUCUUACCAGAAGGAGUCAGUAGAUUAUUUUCAGAUAAAAAACAGAACUGAUAUCCUUCCUUUAAUGGUCUUUACAUAAUUUGUUUAAUGUUGAGGGGCUGCAAUUGCCUACUCAUGUUAUUAGGAAGAAGAAAAUGCCAGCAGAGAUAGAAAAUGUUUGUAGGGCCCAGGAUUCACUAACAUUACACGGAGAAAACUAAAAGUCUAGGGCAGAGACUUUUAAGCAAAAGAGGUGAUGGAGUUCCUAUUGUUGCACAGCAGAAACAAACCUAUUAUCCAUGAGGACGUGGGGUUCGAUCCCUGGCCUCGCUCAAUGGGUCAAGGAUCUGGUGUUGCUGUGGCUGUGGUGUAGGCUGGCAGCUGUAGCGCCAAUUCUACCCCUAGACCGGGAAAUUCUAUAUGCCAUGAGUACGGCCCUUAAAAAAAAAAAGAAAGAAAAAAGAAAAACAGGUGAAUUAAUUCGAACGGCUUUAAAAGAACUCAUUUUAAAGGGCAUCAGAGUACUUUCACUUUUAGUAAAACUAAAUCUUAAUAAAAUUUACGUAUCUGCCAUAGGUUGUUGUCAACUACAAUUGAAAAUUAACUUUUCACCUAUUACUGUUACGUUUAUUUAUGAAAAAUUGACUGUAUCUUCACUAACAUAUUAGGAGAGUAUUUCCUUCUCCUCAAUUCAAGGAAGGGAGGAUGUAAUAGCAAAAUAGUACAUGGGAAGAAGAAUGAAAGAAAAUGCCAUGGUCCUUAAAUGAAGUAUUUUAAGAAGUAGUGAUAGAAUUUUGAUCUGGAAGAAAAGAUUUUAUACUACGUGUUAAUAAAAACAGACAAAAGACAACUUUUACAAAAGGGAGAGACUGUCUUGAAAUUCAACAAAAGAAAAUCCAUUCUUAACAUGUAUAGAUGUAUGAAAAACCCAGGGCAGACUUCCAAUUAAGAUUUGAAAAAAAUCCAAUGAAAGCCAUUAAAUAACUUACAAAUAGUGUAUUUUAAAAAAGGAAACUUUAUGUAAUGGUAUAUAAUCACUGUCUCUAAGAUUCCUUCAUCUAUAGCAUGCCAAGAAUAAUAAAUACAGUGUUAGGAGCGCAUAACUCUUUCAUAAAGAAAUAAACUGUCAAAAAUCUGUUUUAAUGUUACUGAAUGUCCAACACAUUCUUCUACUCAACUGCCAGAUUAUCUCCUAAACCCUGAAAAAAUAUUAAGCAUGCAUUUUCAAUCUAAAAAUACAUAUAUAUAUAGUUUAGAAUUUAUCAUUCUGAAUUGGUUUUAUCUGUUAAGCUAAAAAUAUAGCUAUCAUAAACAUUUCUAAUAGAAAUCAAGAAUUUAGGAAUGCUGACUCCAAACAUACAUAUUGCAUAUUUUCCAUAUAAUGCUAUGAAAAUUAUACAGGCCUCCAAAAGGCAUGUUAUAAUGUGAAAGAUGCAGAACACUUAAAUAGAAUUAUUCUUUAAUGCUUUAUUUUAAAAAGUUUACAUACUGGUUCCUACAGAACUUCAAAGAAAAACCUCAGAUACUAUUAAAGUACCAGUUAUAAUUAAGACACUGUAUAUAUUAUUAGAGAAACCUUUUCGAAACAGAAUUU